GUCCCAGUGAAUAGCUCAGUCGGUUAGAGAGUGGUGCGGACAACGCCAAGGUUGCAGGUUCGAAUCCUGUAUGAGACA